rnacentral:misc_RNA from 1 species
GAUGAAGAACGCAGCAAAAUGCGAUAACUAAUGUGAAUUGCAGAAUUCAGUGAAUCAUCGAGUCUUUGAACGCACAUUGCGCCCCCUGGUAUUCCGGGGGGCAUGCCUGUCCGAGCGUCAUUGCUGCCCUCAAGCACGGCUUGUGUGUUGGGCUCCGUCCCCCCGGGGACGGGCCCGAAAGGCAGCGGCGGCACCGAGUCCGGUCCUCGAGCGUAUGGGGCUUUGUCACCCGCUCUGUAGGCCCGGCCGGCGCCAGCCGACAACCCAUCAUCCUUUUCAGGUUGACCUCGGAUCAGGUAGGGAUACCCGCUGAACUUAAGCAUAUCAAUAAGCGGAGGA